AAAAAGUCUCGGACAAACUCCAGAUUUUUGUCUUCGCUGCGGCGUCAACAAUUUUCCAAAUUUUCAAUCUCUUUCCAAUAGAAAAUUUUCCAAUUUCUUUUGAAAAUUUCAGUGAGAAACGAUUUAAGAACGAUAUAUACAGAGAGAGAGUUUGAGGGAGUGAAGUCAAAGUUGCAGUUGGAGCAGUGGCAAUAGCUGCGGAGAGUAGGAGUGGUUCUUCUUCGUCGGUCGUUCCUCCCCAAAUCUAGGGUUUGGGGGGCCGAAUUACAUCUUCGUCGGCCCAAGUACUCCCAAGAUCUCGCCUUUGCUGCUCGAGGAUCGUGAGCAGUAGCAGGAUUUGAUUUUGUUGUUGUCGACGCAGGGCAAAGUCUCUACUGAUAUAACCAUUUGAACUGCUACUGUUGAGUCAUUGGCACUGCUACAGAAGAAGGGUCAGCAACCGAGUCACAUUUCCCAGCGGUCAGUUUAGCCAUGAUGGCAGAGGGCAGUCCCAGGACAGAUACCUCCACAGAUGUGGACACUGAUGAGAAAGAUCAGAGGUUUGAACGCGGUCAACUUGCUGUUCUUGCAGCUUCUGAUUCAAGUGAUAGGUCAAAAGACAAAA